AAUAUUGGACAAUGGGGGAAACCCUGAUCCAGCCAUGCCGCGUGGGUGAAGAAGGUCUUGGGAUUGUAAAGUACUGUAAGUUGGGAGGAAGGGAAGUAAGUUAAUACCUUGAUGUUUUUAAGUUACAGAAAGAAGAAGCAAAGGCAAAACAUGGUCAAGCAGCCGCGGUAAUACGAAGGGUGCAAGCGUUAAUCGGAAUUACUGGGAGUAACACGCGCGUAGCUUGUUUUUUAAGUUGGAAGUGAAAGCCCCGGGCUCAACCUGGGAACUGCUUUCAAAACUGGCAAGCUAGAGUAUGGCAGAGGGUGGUGGAAUUUCCUGUGUAGCGGUUAAAUGCGUAGAUAUAGUAAGGAACACCAGUGGCGAAGGCGACUACCUGGACUGAUACUGACACUGAGGUGCGAAAGCGUGGGUGGCAAAC
rnacentral:rRNA from 1 species